rnacentral:rRNA from 1 species
AUUGAACGCUGGCGGCAGGCCUAACACAUGCAAGUCGAACGAGUGGCGGACGGGUGAGUAUUGUCUGGGAAACUGCCUGAUGGAGGGGGAUAACUCCUGGAAACGGUAGCUAAUACCGCAUACCAUCUGAUAUGCCCAGAUGGGAUUAGCUAGUGGGUGGGGUAACGGCUCACCCAGGCGACAAUCCCUAGCUGGUCUGAGAGGAUGACCAGCCACACUGGAACUGAGACACGGUCCAGACUCCUACGGGAGGCAGCAGUGGGGAAUAUUGCACAAUGGGCGCAAGCCUGAUGCAGCCAUGCCGCGUGUAUGAAGAAGGCCUUCGGGUUGUAAAGUACUUUCAGCGGGGAGGCGUUAACCACAGAAGAAGCACCGGCUAACUCCGUGCCAGCAGCCGCGGUAAUAC